AACGCACAUUGCGCCCCCUGGUAUUCCGGGGGGCAUGCCUGUCCGAGCGUCAUUGCUGCCCUCAAGCACGGCUUGUGUGUUGGGCCCCCGUCCCCCGGGACGGGCCCGAAAGGCAGCGGCGGCACCGCGUCCGGUCCUCGAGCGUAUGGGGCUUCGUCACCCGCUCUGUAGGCCCGGCCGGCGCCGGCCGACACCAUCAAUCUUUUUUCCAGGUUGACCUCGGAUCAGGUAGGGAUACCCGCUGAACUUAA
rnacentral:misc_RNA from 1 species